rnacentral:rRNA from 1 species
UACGUAGGGGGCAAGCGUUAAUCGGAAUUACUGGGCGUAAAGCGUGCGCAGGCGGUGAUGUAAGACAGUUGUGAAAUCCCCGGGCUCAACCUGGGAACUGCAUCUGUGACUGCAUCGCUGGAGUGCGGCAGAGGGGGAUGGAAUUCCGCGUGUAGCAGUGAAAUGCGUAGAUAUGCGGAGGAACACCGAUGGCGAAGGCAAUCCCCUGGGCCUGCACUGACGCUCAUGCACGAAAGCGUGGGGAGCAAACAGG